GGUAACUGUGCAAUUCAGUUUAGUUUGAAUAAAAAUAUAUUUACUAUCUUCUUUUUUUAAUUCUUUAA
rnacentral:tRNA from 1 species